UACAGAGGGGGCAAGCGUUGCUCGGAAUCACUGGGCGUAAAGGGCGCGUAGGCGGGUCCGCAAGUCGAUCGUGAAAUCCUUCGGCUCAACUGUAGGGGGGCGGUCGAUACUGCGGGUCUUGAGGGAUGCAGAGGAGACUGGAAUUCCCGGUGUAGCGGUGAAAUGUGUAGAGAUCGGGAGGAACACCGGUGGCGAAGGCGGGUCUCUGGGCAUCUCCUGACGCUGAGGCGCGAAAGCGUGGGGAGCAAACGGG
rnacentral:rRNA from 1 species